rnacentral:misc_RNA from 1 species
CGCCAAUCGAGCCUGGCUCGGUAUUGGGCGUCGUGGGCUGCAAAGCCCGCGCGCCUUAAAGUCUCACCGGCUGAGCGACCCGUCUCUAAGCGUUGUGGAAACUAUUCGCGGCGAGUGCGGGUCGGAGCGGCCGUUAAAUACCCCAUCAAA